CCUACGGGAGGCAGCAGUGAGGAAUAUUGGUCAAUGGGCGCGAGCCUGAACCAGCCAAGUCGCGUGAGGGAAGACGGUCCUAUGGAUUGUAAACCUCUUUUGUCGGGGAGCAAAAGACGCCACGCGUGGCGUUCCGAGAGUACCCGAAGAAAAAGCAUCGGCUAACUCCGUGCCAGCAGCCGCGGUAAUACGGAGGAUGCGAGCGUUAUCCGGAUUGAUUGGGUUUAAAGGGUGCGCAGGCGGAAGAUCAAGUCAGCGGUAAAAUUGAGAGGCUCAACCUCUUCGAGCCGUUGAAACUGGUUUUCUUGAGGGAGUGAGAGGUAUGCGGAAUGCGUGGUGUAGCGGUGAAAUGCAUAGAUAUCACGCAGAACUCCGAUUGCGAAGGCAGCAUACCGGCGCUCAACUGACGCUCAUGCACGAAAGUGUGGGUAUCGAACAGGAUUAGAUACCCCUGUAGUC
rnacentral:rRNA from 1 species